GCCCUUGUAGCUCAAUGGCAAGAGCCUUGGAGUGCCGGUUCAAGUCCGGCUGAGGGCA
rnacentral:tRNA from 1 species